GGGGAUGUAGCUCAGUGGUAGAGCACCUGCUUUGCAUGCAGAAGGUCCUAGCUUCAAUCCCCAGUGGCAUCUCCA